rnacentral:tRNA from 1 species
AUUAUUUGGCCGAGCUCAGGCAGAUAUUUUGAAAAUAUCCUACAGAGGUUUAAAUCCUCUAAUAAUUU